rnacentral:ncRNA from 1 species
ACAAGUGACAUGGGGUGCCCCACCUCGCGCGCCGCACCGGCGGUGGACGACGUGGAGGGCUGAGAUCACACCCACCGAACCUGCUCUAGUCAGCACUAGCGAAGGGAUCGUCAUGACGACAGUCG